rfam:Triticum aestivum genome assembly, contig: Triticum_aestivum_CS42_TGACv1_scaffold_250797_3DL
UAUAUACUCCCUCCGUUCGGAAAUACCUGUCGAGAAAAUGGAUGUACCUAGAUGUAUUUUAGUUCUAGAUACAUCCAUUUUUAUUCAUUUUGGCGACAAGUAAUUCCGGACGGAGGGAGUAGUUU